AAAAAAAAAAAAAGUUUAAAGGUAGGCGCCACUCCUAGUGGCGACUUGCCCUACCCUUAAGGGUAGGCGCCAACUAGGGUGGCGCCCAAGUGUAAAAUAGGGCAAAAAAUGUCCAUUUUUGUAAAUUUUUUUAAAAAGGGGUAUUUUUGAUUUUUUUUUUAAAAACUGUAUAUUUAAAAAAAACUUCUCAAGUUGACGCUGCAAACAAACAAAAUGGUAGAAUAAAAAAAAAUACUAAAAA
rnacentral:lncRNA from 1 species